UACGAAGGGGGCGAGCGUUGUUCGGAUUUACUGGGCGUAAAGGGCGCGUAGGCGGCCUUGUCAGUCAGGCGUGAAAGCCCCGGGCUCAACCUGGGAACGGCGCUUGGGACGGCGAGGCUGGAGUUCGGGAGAGGAGAGUGGAAUUCCGGGUGUAGUGGUGAAAUGCGUAGAGAUCCGGAGGAACACCAGAGGCGAAGGCGGCCGGCUGGACCUGACCUGACGCUGAGGCACGAAGGCGUGGGGAGCGAACGGG
rnacentral:rRNA from 1 species